CAAAGGCCCCAUCCGCUGUGA
rnacentral:misc_RNA from 1 species